rnacentral:tRNA from 1 species
GGGUAUAUAGCUCAGUGGCAGAGCGCAUGCCUUGCAUGCUUGAGGUCCUAGGUUCAAUUCCCCAGUACCUCCA